rfam:Triticum aestivum genome assembly, contig: Triticum_aestivum_CS42_TGACv1_scaffold_404757_5BL
CAAGUACUCCCUCCGUCCGGAAUUACUUGUCAUCAAAAUCGAUGUGUUUAGAACUAAAAUACAUCUAGAUACAUCCAUUUCAAUGACAAGUAUUUUUGGACGGAGGGAGUAUAAG